rnacentral:rRNA from 1 species
UACGUAGGGUGCGAGCGUUGUCAGGAAUUAUUGGGCGUAAAGAGCUCGUAGGCGGCUCGGUAAGUCGGAUGUGAAACCUCCAGGCUCAACCUGGAGACGCCAUCUGAUACUGCCGUGGCUUGAGUCCGGUAGAGGAGCAGGGAAUUCCUGGUGUAGCGGUGAAAUGCGCAGAUAUCAGGAGGAACACCAGCGGCGAAGGCGCUGCUCUGGGCCGGUACUGACGCUGAGGAGCGAAAGCGUGGGGAGCGAACAGG